CGAGAUGUGGCGUAGUUAGGUAGCGCAUCUGAUUUGGGAUCAGAAGGUCAUAUGUUCAAAUCAUAUCAUCUCGA
rnacentral:tRNA from 1 species